UGAUCAAUUUAUUUUGAAGAACACUUCACAUCAGUACUGAGGCUGAGGUGGUUAGUUAUAUAUAAACAGAGAGACAUGCAAAUCAAAAUAUGUGAUCCUAAAUUUGGACUUAGUGCUUCCUCAAUUUUGUGAGCAAGUAGCAGCAGUGGGAUUACUGUAUGGAUGCUCUGGAACAAUGCGCGCUACAUCCAGCAGUCACAACUCAUCACUACUCAUUCCUGUCCCCUGGCAGUUGCUAACUGGUAAGACGUCGAAACGGAGCGGCAAACGGAGCACGUCCCGGACUGUCAUAGACAUAUUUUAAUAUUACGGCUGCUAUCUUUUCGAAAGCAAGAAACGUUCGAGAGAAAGAUGCAGAGAUGGUCAGAGAGAGCUUACCUCGACAUAACAGAGAAACAAGGCCAUGAUCAGUAGAAUGUUCUGUCAUUUCAAGAAGUGAAAGGAGCUCCCUGUUCUGAGUCAUCCGAGCCGUCAUGUAGGCUUGGAAGGUCCAGUGGUGGCCGGGGUUUGCAUUCGGAGAAGUAAGGCCUCCCCUUCCUUUAUCAGCCCACGUUGAAUAAAACCAGACAUUGAUUUCCGUUAUAGUUUCUGAAGUGCUACCCAUCCCAUCCAUAGAAGGUGUGGGCUGCUAUCCAGGUCUCCAUACUCAUCAAUAUUGUUACUUUAGCUGAAGGAAAUACGAAGUAAUGACCAGACUGAUUACUCAAAAGGCAAUAAAUGACAGAAAUGGAUGGAACAUUAUAUUAUGAAGGUUAAGACCCCUUAAUAAUCCACUUGGAAAUAUUUAUACUAACAUCUGGCCCUCGCAGCUUCUUAUCAUACUCUUGCUGAUAAGGACAGUGAUAAUACUGACAAUAUGAAACAUCUGGAGUAAUAAACUACAAUUAUUCAUCUAGAGAGAAUGAAAUAUAUUUGUCUGUUGUGUUUGUAUUAUGUCGGUAAAUCAAGCGGCCCAUUCAUAUAUCUGUUGUCUUUUUCUGCAGAUCAAGCUGAGGGUUAUGGCAUCCAGAGAGGAAUACACGCAUUGCGCAACCUGCAAUUAUCACUCACGCAGAAAACAUACUGAGAAAGAAUCUCGGAGUAGUUAUUCAUAAACUUAUCUAUCGAAAUAUCAUUUUCCUGCUUUUGUUCAUGGUAAAUUAUCAAACUUGAAAUUUUACUUUGUGUACAUCCUAAUGAUAUGAUUCUGUUCGUAAAGCGAGAGCCCCAGGAAUUUGCUCGUUUACUGAACGGAAGGCAGCCUGGAAUGGCAUUCUCCUACCUGGUGCCACAAUCUUUACAAACACAAGGCCAAAGCAGGAACAAACCUUGGACAUAAAUGGAAUUUGGGGCAUCAACGGGAGUUCACCUUACAUCUUACUGGGUGGACCAAGAAUCAUAAUGGCAAGUUCCUUAGCGAGUGCCCAAGGGCUGACAAGGUCACGCUCGGAGCCGGAAUCUGAAGCUGCGGCCUUCAGUUGUGUGUUUUUCUUGGACUUCUGUGCUAACUCAGCAUUAGCCAGACAAGUCACGGGGAGUAUUGUGUACGUGCUGGUCAUGAUUUUACUGGACAGGAGGAACGAGACGCCAAACCAAAUCUGUGGGUUCCCUUAGCCAUUUUGAUCUUGCAGAAUACCUUAAUUUGACUGUACAGUUGAACUGCCUGCCCUGUCGCAGAAAAGAAUCGCUGCCCCACUUUCUUCAGUGACAUGCUGGUUGAGUGAUUGUGUUGACAAGGAGGCUAGUGGAUCCAGUGUCCAAGAACAUUAACUAUUCCUCACAGGGUUGGCUUAAAGUUUAGCCCCUGCAUUACAUAACUCUGACAAGCUAAGGCAUAUGCUUUAACCAUGAUGCAUUGUGGGUAUAUGUACUGUAUGACCAUACUGUAUAUUCAUCAGUUAUGGAAGGUUAGGUGGAAGGGACAGUUGUAGGAUCAAACAAUUACGAAUCAUAGCUAUUUUUGAGCUUUAAAAACAUAAUGGAUUAUUAAAAUAUUUAUUUAGUUUGCUUAAGUUUUGUUUUUAAAAAUGUUAUGUGUUUUUUGCUGCCAUGCCCACUGUUCACUUAUUACAACAUACAAAGUAUUGAUGGAACAUCUGUUUCUGAACUCAUCAGAACAAAGACACCACACUGACAAACAUAUUUUUUAGAAAUUGUUUCUGUCUGUUAUAUUUCUGCCUCUUCCCUUGUCUAAUAUUCGGAAAUUGCAUUUGACUGGACCAGAUUUAACAGUGUAUGUGUUGAAUUUGCAAUAAGCAAGUGGUCCAUGGAAAUAGUUUAACAAGAGGCUCGCCACAAACAUGGAAACCAAAUAUUUAAGAAACAAUCACUGGAAACUUCUAUGCAACAGAAGGAUCUUUGAUUUUGACAAUGGGAAUCUAAAUUGCUGCAUGAACAUAAAUUUUAGUUAAUUAUUAUGCGGAACCCCAAGUGAGAAAAUUAAAAUAAAGCUAGUUAGAAUCAGCUUUCGGCAGCCACUUCUGAAUAUUAUCUUUCAAAUUAAGUUCUGUUGUUAUUUUAAUGUCCAUUGAGAGAGAGAUUAUUUUCUCAUGUCAAGUGGUCUGUAUGGAAACAUUAUUAUGUUCUGUUUUGUUGGCCUAUAUAAGGCUUUAAUGCUA